UGGGGAAUAUUGGACAAUGGAGGAAACUCUGAUCCAGCAAUUCUGUGUGUGUGAAGAAGGUUUUAGGACUGUAAAACACUUUUAGUAGGGAAGAAAAAAAUGACGGUACCUACAGAAGAAGCAACGGCUAAAUACGUGCCAGCAGCCGCGGUAAUACGUAUGUUGCGAGCGUUAUCCGGAAUUAUUGGGCGUAAAGGGUACGUAGGCGGUCUAUUAAGUCAGGUGUGAAAGCGUGAGGCUUAACCUCAUUAAGCACUUGAAACUGAUAGACUUGAGUGAAGGAGAGGAAAGUGGAAUUCCUAGUGUAGCGGUGAAAUGCGUAGAUAUUAGGAGGAAUACCGGUGGCGAAGGCGACUUUCUGGACUUUUACUGACGCUCAGGUACGAAAGCGUGGGGAGCAAACAGG
rnacentral:rRNA from 1 species